AACGCAAAUUGCACUCUCUGGUAUUCCGGAGAGUAUGCCUGUUUGAGGGUUGGUUUAAAUAACAAUCGAUAUGUUGCUUUGUGACAUUUCGGAGUUGGGUCAUCUUAAUCUUAACUUUAAGGGACCUAAAAUUGAUGAUGUUCUUGCGCAUCUUGACGUGUAUAAUUUUUUUUAUCUCGUCACCGGAUGCCAGGUAUUAUUAGGUGUGACUAUGCUAAGUGGUUUCAUGCCUAUAGGAUUCUUGAUUUCAACCUCAAAUCAGGUAAGGAUACCCGCUGAACUUAA
rnacentral:misc_RNA from 1 species